UACGUAGGGUACGAGCGUUAAUCGGAAUUACUGGGCGUAAAGUGUGCGCAGGCGGCCGCGCAAGUCGAGUGUGAAAUCCCCGAGCUUAACUUGGGAAUUGCGCUCGAAACUACGUGGCUGGAGUGUGGCAGAGGAAGGUGGAAUUCCACGUGUAGCGGUGAAAUGCGUAGAUAUGUGGAGGAGCACCGAUGGCGAAGGCAGCCUUCUGGGCCAACACUGACGCUCAUGCACGAAAGCGUGGGGAGCAAACAGG
rnacentral:rRNA from 1 species